UACGGAGGGGGCUAGCGUUGUUCGGAAUUACUGGGCGUAAAGCGCACGUAGGCGGCUUUGUAAGUUAGAGGUGAAAGCCCCGGGGCUCAACUCCGGAAUUGCCUUUAAGACUGCAUCGCUAGAAUUGUGGAGAGGUAAGUGGAAUUCCGAGUGUAGAGGUGAAAUUCGUAGAUAUUCGGAAGAACACCAGUGGCGAAGGCGACUUACUGGACACAUAUUG
rnacentral:rRNA from 1 species